rnacentral:rRNA from 1 species
AGAGUUUGAUCCUGGCUCAGGACGAACGCUGGCGGCGUGCUUAACACAUGCAAGUCGAACGGAGCGCCUAUGAAGGAGAUUUCGGUCAACGGAAUAGGUUGCUUAGUGGCGGACGGGUGAGUAACGCGUGAGGAACCUGCCUUUCAGAGGGGGACAACAGUUGGAAACGACUGCUAAUACCGCAUAACACAUAGGUGUCGCAUGGCAUUUAUGUCAAAGAUUUAUCGCUGAAAGAUGGCCUCGCGUCUGAUUAGCUAGUUGGUGAGGUAACGGCUCACCAAGGCGACGAUCAGUAGCCGGACUGAGAGGUUGGCCGGCCACAUUGGGACUGAGAUACGGCCCAGACUCCUACGGGAGGCAGCAGUGGGGAAUAUUGGGCAAUGGGCGCAAGCCUGACCCAGCAACGCCGCGUGAAGGAAGAAGGCUUUCGGGUUGUAAACUUCUUUUGACAGGGAAGAGUAGAAGACGGUACCUGUCGAAUAAGCCACGGCUAACUACGUGCCAGCAGCCGCGGUAAUACGUAGGUGGCAAGCGUUGUCCGGAUUUACUGGGUGUAAAGGGCGUGUAGCCGGGUUGACAAGUCAGAUGUGAAAUCCUGCGGCUUAACCGCAGAACUGCAUUUGAAACUGUUGAUCUUGAGUACCGGAGAGGCAGAC